GUAAAGACGUGUUUGAAUGUUUCGAGAAAAGUAAUUGAUAUGUCUGUAUAUUUGGCUUUGAGCCAUUUAUAACAGAAUAAACACACAUAAAUACGAAGAUAUGAAACUAUGUUUAGCGGAUGUACAUCUGGAGAGUUAGUUUAGAUUUGUUAACGUAUUAGUGUCACUCUAUGAACGAUAAACUCUUAACGUUACAGUUAGACAGGAAAGGUAACGUUAGCGAUUGUGGAAGUGUGGAUUCGUAACGUUAAUACUUUUAAAAUGUUAUUAUCAAAUGUAAGCAGGCAGUGUGUUGAGAACAGGCCGUUAUCUCAUGAAAUACGUUGUAUCGUCGAAUUAAGCUUACUUUAUAGGCUAACGCUGGCACGAUGCUUCACGCCAUGAUUGAGGCUAACGUUGUCAGGCACGUGUUUGUGAAGGCAGGCAAGCAUGUGCAAUUCUUAGCAAAUAAGUAAUUUAAGUAAUGAUAAACAGGAUGCAAUGUUGGCUUAGGUUAAAUUGGUCUGAUUUGACGGCGUGCAUUCAAAUGUCAGGGUGGAUUGUGAGGUUAAAAUCGUGGAUGAAUGUAAUGUUAGGUUAUGGCUAAAAUAGUCCUGAACUAUGAAGGGAGGGCACAAGCUCACAUAAGGCGACAAACAAUUGUGUUGUAACGUGACCAUGACUCGUCUAAAUUAUUAUUUUCUGUUGGCUAUUUUAGGUGGCAAACGGUAGCCUAUUACGUACUGUUCUGAAUUACCUAAUCUCAAAUGGCUUCAUAUAAUGUACCAAUUACUUCAUGAAUUAAACAACACAAUUGUUUUAUAAAAUUCAUAAGCCUAACCUUUUUUGUAUGACCAAUUCCUGCUAUGAGAUGUCUUUGUUUGGUUCAGACCAUGGUUUUAGAUAUGGGAAUAGAUUUUACUGGGGAUAGGAAUUAUAUUUGUAAAUGUAAAUUGUGAAGGCAUAAUAUACAGAUUUUUCCUUGGCUCAAUACAAAUAGAAUGUCUAGUGCUACUUCUAGAAUGUGGCAAUGCCAAGAGGUUCUACCUUUUAGGUAGCUAAUUUGCUGGUUUUACACCAAAAUCCUGUAGUGCUGCUUUAACAAUUUUCUGUAAAUUGGGAGAGUGUAUUGGUAUAUUAAGAAUGACUACAAGCCACAUCACACAUUUGCAAGUUCAAAGUACAUAUUAUUGUAAAUGCUAAGUAUGUAUCUUAAAUAAUCUAUAUAUAUUUUUGUUUUAAACUGUUUUCCAGAAUCUGGAUGUUUGAGUGAAGUUUUAUAUUGAAGAUGCCGUGUCCAAACAAGCGCUCCAGGGCAGCCAAAAAAAGACAGGCUGAUUUGAGGUCCAGUAAGAUGCCGGCUGAUGUCGCUGAGUCAGGACAGACUACAGUGGACCGAGAUACCGAGGUUUUGCCACCGCUACCUCGUAAAAAUAAAGCAAGGGCCGAGGUUUUGCCACCGCUACCUCGUAAAAAUAAAGCAAGGGCCGAGGUUUUGCCAGCGCUACCUCGUAAAAAAAAGGCCAGUGCUCCGCAGUCUUCGGACGCCAACUUUGUUCCCGUACUGCUCCCGUACUGUUCACGUACUGCUCAAACUCAGCCAAACUCUGCUGAAACUCUGCUCAAACUCAGCCAAACUGCUGACUCUCUGAAUAUGUGCCAUGACUCUGCAAACCCACUGUCAAAUACUUUGCCUUCUAAUGCUACUAAUGAUUGUUUGAUUGAAUCUGUUGACUUCUCAGAGAGAUCUGUGCUGAUGGGGUCCUUUCAUCAAGGCGAUUCACGGUUUGGAAAUGUGCGCAACAAGCAGUGUGGUGCCAUCAGUUUGACUGCUGUUUUGAAGUCCAAGAUGAAGAACGUGUGGAGCUGGGAAACUGGAGAUCUUGAUGAUGUUUUGAUUAAGGGAACUGUUCUUUACAGGUCAAUGAGUGCACAGGGUAAAAUAAGAGACCAAGGAAGGGGUUACAUUGCUGUGUCUGAAUUGCCUAGGCAAUAUGAAGUGUGGAAUUGUGAUUUCUCAAUAAACUUUGCUGAUUCUUA